UAAUGUAUACAUUUAUACGUAUAUACAUAUAAAACAGUACACCAACAUAAAAUACAUUUAAUAAAAUCAAAAUAAGUAAAUAAAUAUUUUAUUACUCAUAAAUAUAUAAAUGUCUUUACAUUAGGACUUUUGAAGAAUCUUUUUUUAUUUUCAAGUUAUAUUCUUUAGUUAUCACACAUUUUUAAAAUUCGCAUGAAUAUUCCAAUCUGUCCAUAGUUCUAUCGGUCAUUUUCGUGCUUUUAUCCAAACGCGCAACCAUGGCGACAAGCAAAGCGGUUGCCUUUAUGAAUCGCGUUUGUAACGCGGCCAGAAAGCAGGAAGUUGUGUGAACCUUUCUCCUUAAGUAACUACAUGACCAACUACGCGCUCGGAACUUUCCAAUGAAAGGAUUCGUUUAAUGCGCCUGCUCAGGGAAUGGUAAUAGUGGCGCCAUCUGUCGGAGCUAACUGUUGAUAACAGCCAUUUUGUUUAUGCCUUAUUCGCUUCCGCAGUCGGAUAACUAUAGGCUAACAAACCUGCUGCCACGUUCACUCACUACAUUCUAGCGCCUGCUAAAGCACAUUGACUUCCAGUAAAUACUAUUACUGCCCUGCUCAUUCCAGUAGCUCAGACCUGCGCACUAGUUAAGCAACGCCCACGUUUGUUGUUUUUGCUUUAAGCAGGUACUCAGGCGAUGACUAGCUGACUCGCUUCAACAGUGGUUUGUUUACUACGGAGCCGAGCACUAUAUGCUCAAUGAGCGAGUGUUGUGCAAAGAGUAAGUGCACGAGCUCUUGUGCGACAGCCACAAACUCUUCGAUGCGGUUUGAGACAUUAUCUCUUUUAAUGUUGACUUUUGUGCUGGCGAUAUGUGGCGGAAUUUUGACAUUAUCCUGACAGAACAUGUAGUGUUGCCUGACAGAUUUAUUUUUCUCAUUUUAUGGACAAAUUUACCAUUUAAAUGAACUUUCAAAUAUAAUAAAUUUUCUUGAAAUUUAUAUUUGAAUAUCAGCCUGUUUAUACUACUGGAGAAGCACAGAAGAUAAGUUGAACUGAUUUGGUAACCCAAAACUUAAAUUAAAUGUGUGAUUAAAUCGCAUUCUUACAUGUAAACCCGAAUUUCUUGUUAUUUGGAUUGUUAAAUUAUUUUAUCGAUUACUUGUUUAUUGUGAUGUUUAUUAGCUAUGCACAUAUAUGUCAAAAAGACGAAUAAGGAAAACGAUGUGUUUUCUUAUCGGAAAUACAUAGAUAUUCAAUAUUCAAAGAUCGCCGAUAUAAAUAAUUUGAUGUCUCUAUCUGUUCAAAAUAAUAAAAAAAGAUAAUUUCUUUUAUUAGGAAUACUAUGGACCACAAUCAAAACGCUCUUCGUUUUCUUUGUAAUUGUGAUAAUGCAUAAAAAUGUCAUCAGUUUCACUUUCCGGAAUUACGUACAUAUAUAAUGGAGACAGAUCAAAAUCACAUCAUAUGUCGUCGGCAGCAAAACAAACAUAUUUACUUACAAGUACACGUGUAACCGUGCUUUGUGGCUGUUGGUUCCUUCGCACCGGUGCUAACAAAAUAACAAUAGACCAGUCUUUACAGUGGCUCGAGUCUCUUCGCAAGCAAACACCUUCGCUGCAGUUCAAAGUCAGCUGAUCAGUUCGAUCGUAAGCAGCACAAAGCGUGUGUGUUUACUUUCGUUAAUUUACGUAGUAUAAUUUUGUAUGCAAAUUUUUAAUUUAUGCUCUGCCUUCUUUCUUACGAAUUUUCUGUGUAUUUCUAGCAGUACUCGGGUAUUUCAAAUUAUUCGAAUAGCCUCUUUUUCACGCUUUUAUUUUGUUCAUUGUACUUUUACUUUCAAUGAUAAGAAUAUUAAUACAACUGUGUCUUUUGUUAUUUAUUUAUUGACGUACACAAACAAUACUUUCUGGUCCCGAGCACAGUAAUUUUUAUUAUAAGUAUUGCAGUUUCGUUCACAUAAGCGUUAUACAUAAUUGCAACAACAUAAAAUCGCCGAGUACUAUAGUUAUAAACACUUGAACAAGAACAAUAGACCUUACUUCAACCAUUCGGUGUACGAGGUUUUAUAUCGAAUACGGAUAAGAUUGACUAACAUCUCAAAGAUAUAUUUGAUGUCACAUUCUGGGUCUUAAACGAUUAAUUGUUAUCAAUUUCUUCGGUAAUAUGAACCACCCAGUUAUCUUGAAUUCCACUUAGUAAAUCCUGCGUUAUUGUCGUUUGAUUUCUUCGGCUAUUCACAUAAACUUCCUCGGUUUGAAUUUAUUGUUCACCUAGUACGGAUACCCGAGCAAUAGGGAUUUUUGCUUACCGUUACAGUUUUUGAUUACGGUUGCUGAUAAUUAUUUGUGCGUUAGUGAAUGUUGCGUUUUUAUAUACAAUUUAUUGUGCAAUGAAUAAAUUGGUUUGUUUUUUUUUUAAAGAAGAAUCCAAAUUUGGCGUCCCGCUCUCCAACGGGAACUUCAUUGGCAGGAACACGAGGUUUCACAAAAUAUUAUCUGAAUACCUUUUUCUGACUUCCUUGAAAAUGAAAUGGA